AGGUCAUCUAGUCCAACCCCCUUUUUGAUACAUAAAAUCCUUUAAAAGAAUUCAAAAGAAUAUAUCUUUCCACCACACACUCUAUCCCUAACACAUUAACAUCUGUUUUACUUGUUCUUAUUUUCAGCCAUACGUAGAGGGUCAGCUUCCGGAGUGACACCAGUAAGGCCUCUUCUGCCCCAUAUGUUGCCUGCCCAUUGCCGGUAGGGCAGUUAUAGGGGGCGCUUCUUCAAACACUAAAGAAUUGGCUU